rnacentral:rRNA from 1 species
AUGGAUUGUUUGUCUUUAGCCUCUUUUGCUGCCUUAAGAAAUAUUUCAGCCACUCCUUGGAAUAUUAGGAAUGAUCUUGCUCAUUUUUUCAAAGAUACCUCUAAUUUGAAUGCUCAAGUGUUUCACAUUUCUAGGGAGAUAAAUGGUAUUGCUCACAAUCUUGGUCAGCAGGUUUUUAGAUCUAAUGCUAGCUCUCAAAUCUCUUGCUUUGCUCACGCUCAUUCCCAUCAGUCUUGCCCCAUGGUUUCUCAUCUUUCUCACUUUCAGAUUCAAGGCAUAAAUCUGCAUACUAUUCACUGUUAUUAG